rfam:Tursiops truncatus cont1.383330, whole genome shotgun sequence.
GGAAAGGUGGCUUUAUUGUUUCCUGGACAAUGUCCAGAGGAGUCACACAAACUUAGACAUUUCUUCUUUUGAUGUCCACUUGCCACGACUGUGUGAGGAAGUGAGAGGUUUCUUAGGUGGCUACCAGGACCCUUUAUGGAUCUCUGUGAUGUCAUUCACUGAUACUUCCACACUGGGUGACCCCUCUGAACAUCACCACGUCCUUCCACUUCUACUGGGUGUGCACUGGUCAUUUAGGGAGAAUCUUCUGAGCUAUAGCAAA